UCAGAUCCUGACCUGAGCCAAAAUCUAGGGUGGGACACUUAAACAACGGAGCCACCCAGGCACCCCUGGAAUCUGGAAUCUUCUAUUCACCAACAGUGUAACAGGAGACAAAUUACUUCCUCUCUGAUUCACAGUGUUCUCAUCUGUAAAACAGAGGUAAUGACAGUUCCUAUUUCAUAAAGUGAUGAGUAGAAAUCAAGGUUAUGCAUGGGAAAUGCUUGGUAUGGUGAAACACAGUACCUAGAAGUGUCAAUAGGUGUUACUAUCAUUGUCAUCUUUAUUAUUGCAGAUACGAACUCAGACAUGGAUCUAACGUUCUUCCCACAAUGAAACAGAAUGUUGCGUUUAAUACCCAGAGCCAACUCAGAUCCCCUUGUUCCCUGAUGAAACCAGAUCUCUUCCCUCUCAGGCGGAGGACCUGUAUGUCUCCCUGCUGUCCUCCUGCAGAGACUUGUAACACUUCCUCCCCCAAUCCUCGUCUUCGCUGACAGACUUCCUGUUUCGCCGAGAAAAUAGAAGCAAGCCAGAGAGGAUUCCACAAGCUCCCACCUGCACUUGUCCCCCAUCCCUGCCUUCUGUCCUGUGGGUGCCAGGGAGGAAGGCCCUCCUGCAGGUGCACACACUCCAUCCCUCCAGCCUUCUCUGGUGAGUGUCCUUCUUUCUCCUUCAUGGUGCCAUCAGCAGGACUUUCCUCCACUGUCACAAGGCCACCUCCUGAUGACCCACCUGCCCCUGUAGCCACCACCUCAUGUUUCUGACCGUCUCUACAGCACAACCACUUUUGCUCACCACCUUCACCUUCUCUUUCUGCAUCCCCUCUGAACCCUUGCCAGCCUGCUGUGUCCCACUGUCCCACUGAAACUCCUCGUUUGCUAAGCCUUCCACGUUGGCAGACCCAAUGCUUGAUCCUCAUUUCCCAGACCUGUGGCAGCAUGGGAGCCCUCUUCCUGCACUGCCCUGGCCUCCAGUAUUGUUCCUGUUUCUGACUCCAAGCAAGGCUCCCUGCAACCACUCCUGCCCAUCUUCACAGGCACAUCUCUGACCUGCUCAUAUUCCUCCCCUGCUGCCCACCCACUCAGUCUCCAAGCCCUGGGUGGGGCAGGGAACUCCAAGUUCCUACAUGGACUGCCCUCUCCCCAAACCACCCCCAGGACCUCUCUGACCUCUGCUUACUGCCAUACCUUACUCUCUGUGCUCUAGACACGUCUGCCUCAUUGCUGUCCCACAAACACGCCAAGCACACUCUUCCACAGGGCCUUUGCACUUGCUCUUCCCUCUGUCUAGAAUGUUCUUCCUCCAGAAUCCACUUGGCUCACUCCUUUGUCACCUUCAUGUUUCUGCUCUAGUGUCACUUUCUUGGGAGGACCUUCCUGGCCAUCCCCUCAGCCAUCCUGGUGGCCCCUCACUGCCACUCAGCACUCCUUAGUCUCCUUUUCUUUCUUUUUUUUUUUAAGUUUUUUUUUUUAUUAAUCUCUACAUUGUGGGGCACAA